rnacentral:rRNA from 1 species
GAUGAACGCUGGCGGCGUGCCUAACACAUGCAAGUCGAGCGAUCUUCUUCGGAAGAGAGCGGCGGACGGGUGAGUAACGCGUGGGUAACCUGCCCUGUACACACGGAUAACAUACCGAAAGGUAUGCUAAUACGAGAUAAUAUACUUUAUCGCAUGGUAGAAGUAUCAAAGCUCCGGCGGUACAGGAUGGACCCGCGUCUGAUUAGCUAGUUGGUAAGGUAACGGCUUACCAAGGCGACGAUCAGUAGCCGACCUGAGAGGGUGAUCGGCCACAUUGGAACUGAGACACGGUCCAA